rnacentral:rRNA from 1 species
CAGUCGCCGCGGUAAAACGAAGGGUGCAAGCGUUACUCGGAAUUACUGGGCGUAAAGCGUGCGUAGGUGGUGGUUUAAGUCCGUUGUGAAAGCCCUGGGCUCAACCUGGGAAUUGCAGUGGAUACUGGGUCACUAGAGUGUGGUAGAGGAUAGUGGAAUUUCCGGUGUAGCAGUGAAAUGCGUAGAGAUCGGAAGGAACAUCUGUGGCGAAGGCGACUAUCUGGGCCAACACUGACACUGAGGCACGAAAGCGUGGGGAGCAAACAGGAUUAGAUACCCGAGUAGUCCCUGUCUCUUAUAC